rnacentral:rRNA from 1 species
UACGAAGGGUGCAAGCGUUACUCGGAAUUACUGGGCGUAAAGCGUGCGUAGGUGGUGAGUUAAGUCUGUCGUGAAAGCCCCGGGCUCAACCUGGGAAUGGCGAUGGAUACUGGCUCGCUAGAGUGCGGUAGAGGAGAGUGGAACGUUCCGGUGUAGCAGUGAAAUGCGUAGAGAUCGGGAGGAACAUCAGUUGCGAAGGCGGCUCUCUGGACCAGCACUGACACUGAGGCACGAAAGCGUGGGGAGCAAACAGG